AAAUAGAAAAGAAAAUGUCAUACCAAUUUAUCGUGAUGCAUCAACAACUAUCCUAGACAUGUUAUCAGAUGGUUUUAUUUACGUCUUUUACUGAUCAUCACGUGAAACUAUUCCGAUAUAUAUCUACUGAGGGCAAAUGGGAUCCCCAACUACUACUGUGAAUGACAAUCAUAUUCAUUUCCUUUCAUUUUAUUUUUGU
rnacentral:lncRNA from 1 species